rnacentral:rRNA from 1 species
UACGUAGGUGACAAGCGUUGUCCGGAUUUACUGGGCGUAAAGAGCGCGCAGGCGGUCGAUCAAGUCGAGUGUGAAAGCCCCCGGCUCAACUGGGGAGGGUCAUUCGAUACUGAUCGACUCGAAGGCAGGAGAGGGUAGUGGAAUUCCCGGUGUAGUGGUGAAAUGCUUAGAUAUCGUCAAGAACACCUAUAGCGAAGGCAGCUUACUAGGCUGUAACUGACGCUGAGGCACGAAAGUGUGGGGAUCAAACAGG